rnacentral:lncRNA from 1 species
UAGCCGCACCCCUCCCCCCAUUCAACCACUCUCCUCUCUGUUCCAGUGUGUUUACUACACUGCCGAACAUAGCGGAGACACUCGUCUUCAUAUGAACUGAACCCACGGAGAAAAGCCGUUCUUAGCCGCGUUUGUGAGGAAAACUUCCAGGAGAUCAACAUGCCCAAGAGAAAGGGAAUAGAGGGAGCAGAAAAGGAGGAGCCCCAGAGGAGAUCAGCCCGGUUAUCGGCAAAACCGGUUCAGCCCAAGCAGGAACCAAAGGUCAAGAAGCCGGCAAAGAAAGAAAAGGCUGUGAAUGAUAAAAAGGAAGAUAAGAAGACCAAGAAGGCAAAAGAGAACGCAGAGGCCGAGGCCAACGAGGAAAACCACUCUGAGAACGGAGAGGCCAAGACCAACGAGGUGGAGGAUGCCCCCGAGGAGGCCAAGGAGGAGGCCAAGUCCGAGUAGCACCACUGCCCACGCUUCCUCCUCCUCUGCAGAUCCUGUCGCCCCCCUCCACCCAACCCUGUCAGCCAGCCAGCCCCCACCCACCCCUAAAAACCCCCAGUCUCUCACAUGGUUUCCCUCCAAGGCGUAUUGUUAACAGAGGAAUAUUUUUAUCAAUGAUUUUAUAAGUAUCCGUACAGAUUUUUAGCACAAAACGCAAAGCUGAUAAUGGAGCGCGUUGCAGAUUUGCAGUGGUCAUAUCAAGUGUCUGCAAGCAAGAUGAACACACUAAAAUCUUUUUUAAAUGGCAUUUCAUGAUUGUUGAAAGCUCGUUCGGUGUAGAAAGCGUGUCCCCUGUCUGAUUGGCUAUGUUGUGAGUUGUGUAUUACUGUGUUUUUGCUCCUUUUCCUCUCCUCUUCCUCCUCCUUCUUCCCUUAUUCCUUCACAGAUUAGACCUCCCCAACAGUUCAGCCUUUAUCCAUGUUUUAUUAAAGAUUCAUCCGUGUUAACAUGAAGGAUUCUUUUAGACCUCUAAAUGUGCAGUGAGUUAUUUUUGCUUCUGUCUCAUGAUCUUGUGUUUUUCAUAGAAAUUGUGUUUAAAACAGACAAACAAACAAAAAAACCUAAAAAAAAAAAAAAGAAAGAGUGUUGUCCAAAAAGAGAAAGAGGAAGACGAACAUGUGAAACAUUCCGGGAACAGCAAAAUGCCUACGACCUGUCUCCUAGACGACCCUGCGUGUAAAACAGCUCCUGCUACAUCCACGCUGUCAUGUCGGCUUUUCUAAACGUAUCGUUUGUUUUUUAUUUUUAAACAAUCGGAUUUGGAAAAAAAAAAAACACUGACAAAUGCAGGUGUCUGGUACUUCUCUUAUGUUCUGAAAUUCUCUUAAUAAAAACAAGUCCUGGGAAUUUUCC